rnacentral:rRNA from 1 species
CCUACGGGUGGCAGCAGUCGAGAAUCAUUCACAAUGGGGGAAACCCUGAUGGUGCGACGCCGCGUGGGUGAAUGAAGGUCUUCGGAUUGUAAACCCCUGUCAUGUGGGAGCAAAUUAAAAAGAUAGUAGCACAAGAGGAAGAGACGGCUAACUCUGUGCCAGCAGCCGCGGUAAUACAGAGGUCUCAAGCGUGGUUCGGAAUCACUGGGCGUAAGGCGUGCGUAGGCUGUUUCGUAAGUCGUGUGUGAAAGGCUCGGGCCCAACCCGCGGACGGCACAUGAUACUGCGAGACUAGAGUAAUGGAGGGGGAACCGGAAUUCUCGGUGUAGCAGUGAAAUGCGUAGAUAUCGAGAGGAACACUCGUGGCGAAGGCGGGUUCCUGGACAUUAACUGACGCUGAGGCACGAAGGCCAGGGGAGCGAAAGGGAUUAGAUACCCUGGUAGUC